CCUACGGGCGGCAGCAGUGGGGGAUAUUGCACAAUGGGGGAAACCCUGAUGCAGCGCCGCCGCGUGGGUGAAGAAGCGCCUCGGCGCGUAAAGCCCUGUCAGCAGGGAAGACAAUGACGGUACCUGAAGAAGAAGCCCCGGCUAACUACGUGCCAGCAGCCGCGGUAAUACGUAGGGGGCAAGCGUUAUCCGGAUUUACUGGGUGUAAAGGGGGCGCAGACGGCGAUGCAAGCCAGGAGUGAAAGCCCGGGGCCCAACCCCGGGACUGCUCUUGGAACUGCGUGGCUAGAGUGCAGGAGGGGCAGGCGGAAUUCCUGGUGUAGCGGUGAAAUGCGUAGAGAUCAGGAGGAACACCGGUGGCGAAGGCGGCCUGCUGGACUGCAACUGACGUUGAGGCCCGAAAGCGUGGGGAGCAAACAGGAUUAGAUACCCUUGUAGUC
rnacentral:rRNA from 1 species